CAAUGAAUUAAACAGAUCCCCAGGGACAUAGUCAAGGCACCAAGCCUGUCAGAGUUUAAGAAGCAUUUGGAUUAUGCUCUUAGUCAUAUGGUCUGAGUUUUUGUGUAGAGCUGUGUGUAGCCAGGAGUUGGACUCGAUGAUCCUUGUGGGUCCCUUCCAA